UACGUAGGGUCAGAGCGUUGUCCGGAAUUAUUGGGCGUAAAGGGCUCGUAGGCGGUUCGUCACGUCGGGAGUGAAAACUCGGAGCUUAACUCCGAGCCUGCUUCCGAUACGGGCAGGCUGGAGGCUGGUAGGGGCAAGCGGAAUUCCUGGUGUAGCGGUGAAAUGCGCAGAUAUCGGGAGGAACACCGGUGGCGAAGGCGGUUCUCUGGGCCUUACCUGACGCUGAGGAGCGAAAGCGUGGGGAGCGAACAGG
rnacentral:rRNA from 1 species